rnacentral:rRNA from 1 species
UGGCGGACGGGUGAGUAACGCGUGGGUAACCUGCCUUGUACUGGGGGACAACAGUUAGAAAUGACUGCUAAUACCGUAUAAGCGCACAGUAUCGCAUGAUACAGUGUGAAAAACUCCGGUGGUACAAGAUGGACCCGCGUCCGAUUAGCUAGUUGGUAAGGUAACGGCUUACCAAGGCGACGAUCAGUAGCCGACCUGAGAGGGUGACCGGCCACAUUGGGACUGAGACACGGCCCAA